rnacentral:tRNA from 1 species
GGGAAUAUAGCUCAGUUGGUAGAGUGCUUGCCUAGCACACAUGAAGCCCUAGGUUCCAUUCUUAGUACUA